rnacentral:lncRNA from 1 species
GAAAUGCUGUCUUCAUAGAAUGACUUUGGAAGAGUUCCCUCCUUUUCAUUUUUUUGAAAUAGUUUGUAAAUAAUUUGUAUAAAUUUUUUAAAUGUUUUGUAGAAUUUGUCAGCAAAAACCACCAAGUCGUGAACUUUUCUUUCUUCCUCUAUUUUUUUAGAGACAGAGUCUCACUCUAUCACUGAGGCUGGCAUACAGUGGUGCAGUCAUAGCUGACUGCAGCCUCAAACUCCUGGUCUUAAGUGAUCCUCCUGC